UACAGAGGUCCCAAGCGUUGUUCGGAUUCACUGGGCGUAAAGGGUGCGUAGGUGGUCGGGUAAGUCUGAUGUGAAAUCUCCGGGCUCAACCCGGAAAUGGCAUUGGAUACUAUUCGGCUAGAGGGUUUGAGGGGGGACUGGAAUACUUGGUGUAGCAGUGAAAUGCGUAGAUAUCAAGUGGAACACCAGUGGCGAAGGCGAGUCCCUGGGCCGUAACUGACGCUGAGGAGCGAAAGCAUGGGUAGCGAACAGG
rnacentral:rRNA from 1 species